CCGGGAUGGACAUACCGCUGGUGUACCAGUUGUUCCGCCAGGAGCAUUGCUGGGUAGCUAUGUAUGGAUGAGAUAAACGCUGAAAGCAUCUAAGUGUGAAACUCGCCUCGAGAUGAGAUUUCCCAUCUAUUUAAUAGAGUAAGACCCCUUAGAGAUGAUGAGGUAGAUAGGCUAGAAGUGGAAGUUGAGUGAUCAAUGAAGCGGACUAGUACUAAUAGGUCGAGGACUUAACCAAA
rnacentral:rRNA from 1 species